rnacentral:rRNA from 1 species
GAUGAACGCUGGCGGCGUGCCUAAUACAUGCAAGUCGAGCGAACAGACGAGGAGCUUGCUCCUCUGACGUUAGCGGCGGACGGGUGAGUAACACGUGGAUACCUACCUAUAAGACUGGGAUAACUUCGGGAAACCGGAGCUAAUACCGGAUAAUAUAUUGAACCGCAUGGUUCAAUAGUGAAAGACGGUUUUGCUGUCACUUAUAGAUGGAUCCGCGCCGCAUUAGCUAGUUGGUAAGGUAACGGCUUACCAAGGCAACGAUGCGUAGCCGACCUGAGAGGGUGAUCGGCCACACUGGAACUGAGACACGGUCCAGACUCCUACGGGAGGCAGCAGUAGGGAAUCUUCCGCAAUGGGCGAAAGCCUGACGGAGCAACGCCGCGUGAGUGAUGAAGGUCUUCGGAUCGUAAAACUCUGUUAUUAGGGAAGAACAAAUGUGUAAAUAACUAUGCACGUCUUGACGGUACCUAAUCAGAAAGCCACGGCUAACUACGUG